rnacentral:lncRNA from 1 species
AUCUACUAGAUUCAUUUCUCUUGGAGGAAAAGUCAAAAGCAAGAGACUAGAAGCUCUUUCAGAGGUGAUGGCUGACUUUGAUAUCGUAGUUAACUGCUGUGGUUUGGGAAAUUACCAGUUGAAUAAUGAUCGACAGAUGACACCGAUUCGUGGUCAAGUCAUUAGGGUAAAUGCACCAUGGAUAAAACACUUUUACUUCAUUGAUGAGGAAACUAAACCAUUAUAUAUUUUUCCUACGU